CCUACGGGGGGCAGCAGUCGAGAAUCAUUCACAAUGGGGGAAACCCUGAUGGUGCGACACCGCGUGGGGGAAUGAAGGUCUUCGGAUUGUAAACCCCUGUCAUGUGGGAGCAAAUUAAAAAGAUAGUACCACAAGAGGAAGAGACGGCUAACUCUGUGCCAGCAGCCGCGGUAAUACAGAGGUCUCAAGCGUGGUUCGGAAUCACUGGGCGUAAAGGGUGCGUAGGCUGUUUCGUAAGUCGUGUGUGAAAGGCGCGGGCUCACCCCGCGGACGGCACAUGAUACUGCGAGACUAGAGUAAUGGAGGGGGAACCGGAAUUCUCGGUGUAGCAGUGAAAUGCGUAGAUAUCGAGAGGAACACUCGUGGCGAAGGCGGGUUCCUGGACAUUAACUGACGCUGAGGCACGAAGGCCAGGGGAGCGAAAGGGAUUAGAUACCCCGGUAGUC
rnacentral:rRNA from 1 species